rnacentral:rRNA from 1 species
AACGAACGCUGGCGGCAGGCCUAACACAUGCAAGUCGAGCGAACCGCAAGGCUAGCGGCGGACGGGUUAGUAACGCGUGGGAACGUGCCCAAAGGUACGGAAUAGCCUCGGGAAACUGAGAGUAAUACCGUAUGUGCCCGAAAGGGGAAAGAUUUAUCGCCUUUGGAUCGGCCCGCGUUGGAUUAGGUAGUUGGUGGGGUAAUGGCCUACCAAGCCGACGAUCCAUAGCUGGUUUGAGAGGAUGAUCAGCAACGCUGGGACUGAGACACGGCCCAGACUCCUACGGGAGGCAGCAGUGGGGAAUCUUAGACAAUGGGGGAAACCCUGAUCUAGCCAUGCCGCGUGAGCGAUGAAGGCCUUAGGGUUGUAAAGCUCUUUCACCGGGGAAGAUAAUGACGGUACCCGGAGAAGAAGCCCCGGCUAACUCCGUGCCAGCCGCCGCGGUAAGAC